rnacentral:rRNA from 1 species
AACGAACGCUGGCGGCAUGCCUAACACAUGCAAGUCGAACGAGACCUUCGGGUAUAGUGGCGCACGGGUGCGUAGCGCGUGGGAACCUGCCCUUAGGUUCGGAAUAACUCCCCGAAAGGGGUGCUAAUACCGGAUAAUGUCUUCGGACCAAAGAUUUAUCGCCUUUGGAUGGGCCCGCGUUGGAUUAGCUAGUUGGUAGGGUAAAAGCCUACCAAGGCGACGAUCCAUAGCUGGUCUGAGAGGAUGAUCAGCCACACUGGGACUGAGACACGGCCCAGACUCCUACGGGAGGCAGCAGUGGGGAAUAUUGGACAAUGGGCGAAAGCCUGAUCCAGCAAUGCCGCGUGAGUGAUGAAGGCCUUAGGGUUGUAAAGCUCUUUUACCCGGGAUGAUAAUGACAGUACCGGGAGAAUAAGCUCCGGCUAACUCCGUG